rnacentral:rRNA from 1 species
AGAGUUUGAUCCUGUGCUCAGGAUGAACGCUAGCGGCAGGCUUAACACAUGCAAGUCGAGGGGCAGCGGGGAGGAAGCUUGCUUUCUCCGCCGGCGACCGGCGCACGGGUGAGUAACACGUAUGCAACCUGCCCCUGUCAGGGGGACAACCCGCCGAAAGGCGGGCUAAACCCGCGUACAUGCCACCGGGGCAUCCCGGAGGCAGGAAAGGCUUCGGCCGGACAGGGAUGGGCAUGCGGCGCAUUAGGCAGUAGGCGGGGUAACGGCCCACCUAACCGACGAUGCGUAGGGGUUCUGAGAGGAAGGUCCCCCACACUGGUACUGAGACACGGACCAGACUCCUACGGGAGGCAGCAGUGAGGAAUAUUGGUCAAUGGUCGGGAGACUGAACCAGCCAAGCCGCGUGAGGGAGGAAGGUACAGAGUAUCGUAAACCUCUUUUGUCAGGGAACAAAGGCGGGGACGUGUCCCCGGAUGAGUGUACCUGAAGAAAAAGCAUCGGCUAACUCCGUGCCAGCAGCCGCGGUAAUACGGAGGAUGCGAGCGUUAUCCGGAUUUAUUGGGUUUAAAGGGUGCGCAGGCGGUCUGUUAAGUCAGCGGUCAAAGCCCGGGGCUCAACCCCGGCCCGCCGUUGAAACUGGCAGUCUCGAGUUGGAGAGAAGUAUGCGGAAUGCGCGGUGUAGCGGUGAAAUGCAUAGAUAUCGCGCAGAACUCCGAUCGCGAAGGCAGCAUGCCGGCUCCACACUGACGCUGAGGCACGAAAGCGUGGGUAUCGAACAGGAUUAGAUACCCUGGUAGUCCACGCAGUAAACGAUGAAUGCUGGCUGUCCGGGGGGAUUGACCCCUGGGUGGCGAAGCGAAAGCGAUAAGCAUUCCACCUGGGGAGUACGCCGGCAACGGUGAAACUCAAAGGAAUUGACGGGGGCCCGCACAAGCGGAGGAACAUGUGGUUUAAUUCGAUGAUACGCGAGGAACCUUACCCGGGCUCAAACGGGGAGUGACUCAGGCAGAGACGCCUGUUUCCCACGGGACACUCCCCGAGGUGCUGCAUGGUUGUCGUCAGCUCGUGCCGUGAGGUGUCGGCUUAAGUGCCAUAACGAGCGCAACCCCCGCGUGCAGUUGCUAACAGAUAACGCUGAGGACUCUGCACGGACUGCCGGCGCAAGCCGCGAGGAAGGCGGGGAUGACGUCAAAUCAGCACGGCCCUUACGUCCGGGGCGACACACGUGUUACAAUGGGUGGUACAGCGGGAAGCCAGGCGGCGACGCCGAGCGGAACCCGAAAUCCACUCUCAGUUCGGAUCGGAGUCUGCAACCCGACUCCGUGAAGCUGGAUUCGCUAGUAAUCGCGCAUCAGCCAUGGCGCGGUGAAUACGUUCCCGGGCCUUGUACUCACCGCCCGUCAAG